AGGAUAUUUUGCAAACGGAAGUUAUUAAUUUUGGUGAACUCUAAUUUAUCCAGUUUUGCUUUGAUUAAUACUUUCUGUGUCUAUCUAAAGCCAAACCCUAGGGUCAGUCAUCUUGUCCCUUCAUAACCUAACCCCUUGGAGACACAGUCAUUGUUAGUCAGUCAGUCCCCAGGGUGUAGCUUUCCGCAAGGGAUUCUAGGCUUUGACUCAUUCAGCAGUCAUUCAGAAAGUCAGAUCAGAGCCAUCAUGCCAAAGGUAAGUGACAGUGAACAGGCACUAGGACACCACAGGCCAGUGUACAGCUGGGUUAGUGUCCUCAGGGAUCUUUCUACCAAACAAAUUUCCCAACCUGCACCAGCCCAGACCUGCACAAUCCUGUCUGACCAGCAAAGAACCUCCUUCAGGGGCCUGAGGCACAGGAUGGCAUUUCCCCCAGUUUAUCUAGUGUGUUUCUAAUUGCUCCUUGAAGAAUUUUUGUCACAGCUGCGUUAAAGUUUGUGUCAAUUCUAACAUGUCAUCUUGAUGGUGGAAUCUGUUGAUUAUCUUUUCAUUCAGUUUGAGCUCUUCCUGGUUCUUGGUAUGAUGAGUGAUUUUUAACUAAAACCUGGGCAUUUUUGUAUUCUGUUAAGAGACUCCAGAUCUCAUUUAAACCUUCUGAUUUUGAUACCACUCCAGUGAGGGAAGGGGCAGAGCUGUCACCUGAUUAUGAUCUGUGUCUCCAAAGGGUUGGGCUAAGAAGAAGAGGCAAGAGAAUUUACCCCAGGGGUUGGUGUUGGUGUUCCACCCUCACUCUGGGGCCUUAACAUUUUUUAGCAUCCUCUAAGCCAUGGUUCUCAACCUUCUCUGUCCAUUCAAGUUACUCACUGGAGCUGUAUCACAGUGGUUUCUUCCUCUGUCCCACAGGUGGCAAACACAAGGCCUGCGGGCCGAAUCCAGCUCUCCACCUUGUUUUAUCCAGCCCAGUACCUUGUUUCUACCAGGCAGCAGCCCCAAGCCCUUGCUUAGCUGUUAAGGAGUAGUUUGUGUAUGUAGUCCUAAAAUUACAUUCAGCCCUUUGAAGGCAACCGCUUAGGCUGCUGUGGCCCCCAGUGAAAAUGAGUUGACACCCCUCCUACCCUGAGACUUUGAUUCACUUGGCCUGGAGUGGAGCUUAGUCAGGGGCAUUUUUAAAAGCUUUCCAGGUCAGUGUUCCUGUGCAGCUAGAAUUGAGAGACGCUACUCUGCAGAGAAAGAGAACUUAAAUAUUGAAUAUCACAUUAUGGAUUCCUACAUUUUUUGAAAGCCUUGGUCUCAGACUGAGGGUUUUGUGUAUGUCCAUUCUCAGUGGUAGUGAGAUGUAACUAGCCACAGGAUAAACCUGGCCCAUCUUCCUGGAGUUUCAGCUUUGCCUGAUUUAAAAAAAAAUCAUGUUUCAAAUUACCUGCUCCUCCUCCUCACCAAAAAAGGCCAAAAAAAUCAAAAGCGAUCUAUUGUGGAGUAGAAUGUAAAAUUUGCAUGCAUUUUAAAGGAGAAAAAAACCCAGGCAGGAUUCUAGGGAAACUCAUAUUCACGGGGAGCCACGAUACCGGGCUCUCCUGCUGGGGUCACUUUGGUGCAACCGCUCUGAGAAGCACCAUGAAGACCUGGGAGGCAGAACAUUGCUGUCUCUGAGUGCCGUCUAUAACUCUAACUGUUCUGUAACCCCGGUGACUGGACUAAUGUGAUGUUUUGUAGUGUGAAUCAUUUUUAUUUAGAGGACUUUACUUUCUUUUAUCAUCUUUAACUGUCAAAGUAGUCAUCCCUGGAAUACUGAUAUUUCUUAUCUUUUUUUUUUUUUUUUUGGUCCGGAGCUCUGGGUGAUGAGAGUCCCAUGGCUCUGAAUUCUAAACUUAGGAAACACUUCUGUUCAUUUUUAGAAGGUUACAGCAGGGAACUGCUGGAUAAUGAGAACUUUCUCAGUCUUUUUGUUCUCACUCCCAAUCACUGUCAGCAUAGAUGAGCUCCUUUCUUUAUGGCCACGGUUUGUAACACCAGUUAAUAGUCUUAGGGGGGACCUGUUUAUUCCGGGGGGAUGCUUCUGACAUUUGAAGAAUGCCAUUUAUUUCUGAGCUGAGCGCCCCUUCCACACUAAUGAUUCCCUUUGUGGGACGUUCUCACAGAGGAUGGGUGCUUCCCGCCCUGCAGGGCUGCUCUCUGGCAGAACUGACAAGUGUGCACAUGAGCUGCUCUCUGUUACCCCAUAUUCAUUGAAAAAUGAAUGUUUCUCUUCACGUGUUAAUCUGAUUUCCUGGAGGUGACCCAGAGUUUGAUGAAAAUAAACUCAUGUAAUUGUAGUACUACAGAAACCAUAUAAACCCUUUGCUUCAGCAUCUCUCCAUUAAAAUGCAGACAUUUGAUACUGUCUUUACAUCGAAGCGUGGACCUUUCUGUGGUGGUUGACUGCAGUUGUUUCAUUGUAUUCCUGAAGAACCUGACUUUGAAGCUGGACUCUAGGUUCAGCUGUAGACUACCUGGAGGUAGUUGAUGAGGUUAAGAGCAUGGGGACCAUGGAAAGACUGUCUGGGUUCUGACCCUGCCUCUGCCACUUGCUAGCUGGGCAAGUUCACUUUUCUGUGUCUCAGCGUCCCCUUCUUUAAAAAUGGGAUAGGAUUUUUAUGAGGAUGUCAUGAAUUAGUACACUGCAAGCUCUAAAACAGUACAUGGCUUAGAACAACAGAUGAAUUAACUGUUGUUAUUGUUUUAAUGGACGUAAAAAUAAAAUAUCCCAGUUUCUGCAGACUGAGACAUCUAUGUGAAAAGGUUUAGUUCCAGAUUGUGCAAUAGGGGAAGGGCAAACCAUAUCCGAGCAGCGAGCGAUGGCAGUGCACAGGGGAGCAAGUAGACUGGCUCACGGGUCUUAGGAGAAAUGAGAGGGGGAUUGUGGUGAUAGGGAGUGGAUCUGAGGGGCCCCUGGACAAGCAGUGCAGGAUUCCAUCGGUGGUCCACCCUUCUGGAGUCCAGUCCCACCCCUCACUCUCUGUGCAUCUCAGGUCAAGGGAAGUACAACCGGUGGACUGGAAGUGGGGGAAUCUUGCUCCCCUUCCUUUGUUGGGAGGAUGAUGCAGAAGUCCCUGAGUCUCUUGCUCAGCCUGAAAUGUGGAGAUCUAUACUCUUGGGCUCCAAGUUUAUAUCUGAAUACAUUUUUUAGAACAGACACUGUUAUUCCUGGUUGUGAGUUCUGAUUUGCUUUUGAAAAGAGUAGUAUAGAAAUAUUGGUGUUAUAUGUCUAGGAUUUUAAGGGUUGAGUAAGCAGUCGAGGGCUGCCAAGGCCAGUCACUUCUACCUCCAAAAUAUCUGUCCUUCAGUCUUUACCUCCACCUCUACUCCUUAGUCAGGUGCCACCAUCUCUUACCUGAACUGCUGUAAUAAUCUCCUUCCUGUUUCCCCGACUUACUUCCUUGACCAUUGCAGUUCAUUUCUCUGUGUAGUAACCAGAGUUAGUUUUAUCACAUGUGAAUUGGAGUCAGGCUGCUUCUUAAAAUUCUUUAGUGGCUUCAUUACACUUUGAGUAAAAUCCAAACUCAUUAUUGUGCCCCACCAAGACCUGUAAGAAGCAUAAGACGUGAUCUGGUUCCUCCCCAUCCUCUCCAGUUCCAUCUUUUACUGAUCCCCUUUGUACUGCAUCUUCAGCCACACAGGGCUUUCAUGUCCCAUAUGUACCCUAUGCUUUACUGCUUCAGGGUCUGUGACCUCAGUGUUGCCUGUGCCGGGAAGGUUUCCCCCUCUUAGGACUCAUGCAUGCUCAGCCCGGACACCCCCUCCUGAAAGGGCUUUCCCUGAGCAUUCUGCUUAUUUCCUUCCAGUAACUUCAUAGUCCAUAGUUAUUGUUUGUUCACUCACUUAUUGUCCGUUUCUUCUACUAGAAUAUAAACUCCACGAGGGGUGUGUUGCAGACUGAUUUAAGCCAGUCUGGCUGUCCAGCACUGCUGGGUUCUUUUGUUCAAUGUUGGUGGCCUCUAGAAUCUAGAAAUAGGUGGGUGCCAUACAUUCCUUCCUACAUGCUCUUGCUACCAGCUGGUAAAUUACACUAAAAACUAUUUCUGGUCUUAAUCCUGCAGGUUUACAGUCAUUUAUUAGCAAGCAGGCACAAUAAAGAGCCACAUGCAGUCUUGUCUCCGAAAAAAUCCCACUUUCUGUUCUUGGGCACUCUGAGUAGCACCAGCAGGAAAGUGCAGGUGCAGUGAGGACAUUCUGAAGAUGGAACCUUCCAGCUGUGGCUCAGUCCAGGCGACAGCCUGAGGACUGGCGAGAAGCAGGGCUGGGCUCCAGGUGCUGAGUGCCGCACUAGGUGUCAGGGUUCUGGCCUUGGCAGGUUCUUAUGUCUUGUUCUUUCAGAGAUGGAGGAAUCUGUGCAACUCCACCAACCAUGUGUCGUGGACAGCACUCAUAUCGCAAAUGACAAUGACCUUUAACAGCCCUUUUGUUAAUUAAUAAACCCUUUGUUAUAUUUUAAAAUACUUGUAUUUAAAGUGCUAAUCAGGAGUGUAAGUUCCUAAUAACAGCGCUUAAAUGCCAGGGUGUCCAUAAAUCUUAGUAAGUAAAUUAUACACACAAUGUGCCUUGCUUGUACUACAGUUCUCCCCAAGUACAGAAAUGACAACAGAUGAGGACCUUGUCUGUUUUAUUUUCUACAGUAUGUCCAUCACUUAAAAUGGUACUGAGUUUAUGGUAGGUGUUGUAUAAGUGAAUAAAAUUAUUUCUGACAGAAGAAAAAAAUCUAUGUUCUAAACAACAAACUUACAAACUUUUGGAGGAAAACUGAUUUUUAAGUUGAGGAUUGGUAACUUGAAAAAUCAACCUUUAUUCUAGAAAUCCAUAAAAUUCUUAUUUUAUCUAGAACAAGUUGAUUUGGUUAUCAUCAGUCAAAAAGUCUGGGAACAUUUUAUGAGUAUGGGAAACAGCACGUCAUUACCAUCCAUAUGCUUAAAAAUGCUGUACAAAUGACAAAAGAUCUUUCAAAUUUUUUUUCAAAGAAAAAAAUUCUUAAAAUUCAGGAAAGACAUAGAAUGCGCUUGAAAGAUUAGA